rnacentral:rRNA from 1 species
AUUGAACGCUGGCGGCAUGCCUUACACAUGCAAGUCGAACGGUAACAGGUCUUCGGAUGCUGACGAGUGGCGAACGGGUGAGUAAUACAUCGGAACGUGCCCGAGAGUGGGGGAUAACGAAGCGAAAGCUUUGCUAAUACCGCAUACGAUCUCAGGAUGAAAGCAGGGGACCGCAAGGCCUUGCGCUCACGGAGCGGCCGAUGGCAGAUUAGGUAGUUGGGGGGAUAAAAGCUUACCAAGCCGACGAUCUGUAGCUGGUCUGAGAGGACGACCAGCCACACUGGGACUGAGAAACGGCCCAGACUCCUACGGGAGGCAGCAGUGGGGAAUUUUGGACAAUGGGCGCAAGCCUGAUCCAGCCAUGCCGCGUGCAGGAUGAAGGCCUUCGGGUUGUAAACUGCUUUUGUACGGAACGAAAAGACUCUGGUUAAUACCUGGGGUCCAUGACGGUACCGUAAGAAUAAGCACCGGCUAACUACGUGCCAGCAGCCGCGGUAACAC